rnacentral:rRNA from 1 species
UACGUAGGGGGCUAGCGUUGUCCGGAAUCAUUGGGCGUAAAGCGCGCGUAGGCGGCCCAGUAAGUCCGUUGUAAAAGUCAAAGGCUCAACCUUUGAAAGCCGAUGGAUACUGCUGGGCUAGAGUCCGGAAGAGGCGAGUGGAAUUCCUGGUGUAGCGGUGGAAUGCGCAGAUAUCAGGAGGAACACCGAUAGCGAAGGCAGGUCUCUGGGCAUUAACUGACGCUGAGGAGCGAAAGCAUGGGGAGCGAACAGG